rnacentral:snoRNA from 1 species
AAGGCGAUGAUGAUUGGCGCAGGGGUACGGACCUCAGCUGAAUCAUGGGAGCUGAAUGUAAAUGUUUCUCUGCCCUGCAUGUUGUCAGGCAGCUGAGAAUAUUUGCAUGAAAUUUGUGCCUAGUCUGAGCCGC